AUGUUCACUUGUGUGCUUAUACUGCUGACUUUAACUCAAGGUAACAGAGCUAAAGAUGUCAUCACCCCAUACAGUGAUGCAUCAUUUGCCACUGAGACUAAGAGUCUGAAAAUCUCUUGUAACUACACUGGUUCUGUUGAUAGUCUUCACUGGUAUCGGCAAUAUGCAGGUUCACCACCACAGUUCCUCAUUCUGGAUUACUAUGGAGCAACUACUCAUGCUAAUCCUCCAGUUUCUGGAAUAUCCAUCAGUCACAGAAAAGAAGAGAACAGUGUGGAUCUGAUCAUCUCCUCUGCUGCAGUAUCAGACUCUGCUCUCUACUACUGUGCCCUGCAGCCCACAGUCACAGGAAACACUCUACACACCAUACAAAAACCUGAAACACUAUUAAAUUGCAAAUUUACAGUGAUGUCUAUCCAUCAGGCAUAUGAAGGUGUAUUUGCUGACAGCAUUGAGCCAAAAAACAAGGAUGAUAUAAUCAGGAGAGAAGGAGAGUCUGUGACACUGAGCUGCACAUAUGAUACAAGCAGCAAUUAUGCUAUGCUUUACUGGUACGGACAGUUUCCAAACAGAGAACCUCGAUAUUUACUGCGUAAAGGUGCUUGA